GUCAAGGUGGCCCAGGCUCCCUGGAAAGAUGUUCAGGGAAUGGAAACACCAAGGCUACCUCAGAGAGGACGUUCUUCUGACACUUGGCAAGUCCCUCUGAAGUUGGAGGCCGACAUCUGUACUUUCAGGGAGGCUACAAGAACCUCUGGUUCCCAGCAGCUCCUCGGCGGACCUAUAACGAUGCUCUUUCUUCAAGGAGGGUCCAGUGCACUGACUGACACAUAUGUCCUCCAUGACUUCACUGAACGCCAGCUUCUGGAGCCACACUGAACCAGACUGUCCUUGUCCUAAGACAUCAGAAGAGGAG
rnacentral:lncRNA from 1 species